rnacentral:rRNA from 1 species
GCAGUCGAGCGGUAACAGGUCUAGCUUGCUAGACGCUGACGAGCGGCGGACGGGUGAGUAAUGCAUAGGAAUCUGCCCGGUAGUGGGGGAUAACCUGGGGAAACCCAGGCUAAUACCGCAUACGUCCUACGGGAGAAAGGGGGCUUCGGCUCCCGCUAUCGGAUGAGCCUAUGUCGGAUUAGCUAGUUGGUGGGGUAAUGGCCCACCAAGGCGACGAUCCGUAGGCUGGUCUUGAGAGGAAUGAUUCAGCCACCAUUCGGGACUGAGAUCAUCGGCCCGAACUCCUACGGGAGGCAGCAGUGGGGAAUAUUGGAUCAAUGGGGGCAACCCUGAUCCAGCCAUGACCGCGUGUGUGAAGAAGGCCUUAGGGUUGUUAAAGCACUUUCAGCGAGGAAGAACGCCUGGCGGUUAAUACCCGGCCAGGAAAGACAUCACUCGCAGAAGAAGCACCGGGCUAACUCCGUGCCAGCAGCCGCGGUAAUACGGAGGGUGCAAGCGUUAAUCGGAAUUACUGGGCGUAAAGCGCGCGUAGGUGGCUUGAUAAGCCGGUUGUGAAAGCCCCGGGCUCAACCUGGGAACGGCAUCCGGAACUGUCAAGCUAGAGUACAGGAGAGGAAGGUAGAAUUCCCGGUGUAGCGGUGAAAUGCGUAGAGAUCGGGAGGAAUACCAGUGGCGAAGGCGGCCUUCUGGACUGAUACUGACACUGAGGUGCGAAAGCGUGGGUAGCAAACAGGAUUAGAUACCCUGGUAGUCCACGCCGUAAACGAUGUCGACCAGCCGUUGGGUGCCUAGCGCACUUUGUGGCGAAGUUAACGCGAUAAGUCGACCGCCUGGGGAGUACGGCCGCAAGGUUAAAACUCAAAUGAAUUGACGGGGGCCCGCACAAGCGGUGGAGCAUGUGGUUUAAUUCGAUGCAACGCGAAGAACCUUACCUACCCUUGACAUCCUGCGAACUUGGUAGAGAUACCUUGGUGCCUUCGGGAACGCAGAGACAGGUGCUGCAUGGCUGUCGUCAGCUCGUGU